rnacentral:rRNA from 1 species
GGGUUGUGAGGUUAAGCGACUAAGCGUACACGGUGGAUGCCCUGGCAGUCAGAGGCGAUGAAGGACGUGCUAAUCUGCGAAAAGCGUCGGUAAGGUGAUAUGAACCGUUAUAACCGGCGAUGUCCGAAUGGGGAAACCCAGUGCAAUUCGUUGCACUAUCGUUAACUGAAUACAUAGGUUAACGAGGCGAACCGGGGGAACUGAAACAUCUAAGUACCCCGAGGAAAAGAAAUCAACCGAGAUUCCCCCAGUAGCGGCGAGCGAACGGGGAGCAGCCCAGAGUCUGAAUCAGCUUGUGUGUUAGUGGAACGGUCUGGAAAGUCCGACGGUACAGGGUGAUAGUCCCGUACACCAAAAUGCACAGGCUGUGAACUCGAAGAGUAGGGCGGGACACGUGGUAUCCUGUCUGAAUAUGGGGGGACCAUCCUCCAAGGCUAAAUACUCCUGACUGACCGAUAGUGAACCAGUACCGUGAGGGAAAGGCGAAAAGAACCCCGGCGAGGGGAGUGAAAAAGAACCUGAAACCGUGUACGUACAAGCAGUGGGAGCACCUUCGGGUGUGACUGCGUACCUUUUGUAUAAUGGGUCAGCGACUUAUAUUCUGUAGCAAGGUUAACCGUAUAGGGGAGCCGCAGGGAAACCGAGUCUUAACUGGGCGUUAAGUUGCAGGGUAUAGACCCGAAACCCGGUGAUCUAGCCAUGGGCAGGUUGAAGGUUGGGUAACACUAACUGGAGGACCGAACCGACUAAUGUUGAAAAAUUAGCGGAUGACUUGUGGCUGGGGGUGAAAGGCCAAUCAAACCGGGAGAUAGCUGGUUCUCCCCGAAAGCUAUUUAGGUAGCGCCUCGUGAAUUCAUCUUCGGGGGUAGAGCACUGUUUCGGCUAGGGGGUCAUCCCGACUUACCAACCCGAUGCAAACUACGAAUACCGAAGAAUGUUAUCACGGGAGACACACGGCGGGUGCUAACGUCCGUCGUGAAGAGGGAAACAACCCAGACCGCCAGCUAAGGUCCCAAAGUCAUGGUUAAGUGGGAAACGAUGUGGGAAGGCACAGACAGCCAGGAUGUUGGCUUAGAAGCAGCCAUCAUUUAAAGAAAGCGUAAUAGCUCACUGGUCGAGUCGGCCUGCGCGGAAGAUGUAACGGGGCUAAACCAUGCACCGAAGCUGCGGCAGCGACACUAUGUGUUGUUGGGUAGGGGAGCGUUCUGUAAGCCUGCGAAGGUGACCUGUGAGGGUUGCUGGAGGUAUCAGAAGUGCGAAUGCUGACAUAAGUAACGAUAAAGCGGGUGAAAAGCCCGCUCGCCGGAAGACCAAGGGUUCCUGUCCAACGUUAAUCGGGGCAGGGUGAGUCGACCCCUAAGGCGAGGCCGAAAGGCGUAGUCGAUGGGAAACAGGUUAAUAUUCCUGUACUUGGUGUUACUGCGAAGGGGGGACGGAGAAGGCUAUGUUAGCCGGGCGACGGUUGUCCCGGUUUAAGCAUGUAGGCUGGUUAUCCAGGCAAAUCCGGAUAAUCAAGGCUGAGGUGUGAUGACGAGGCACUACGGUGCUGAAGUAACAAAUGCCCUGCUUCCAGGAAAAGCCUCUAAGCAUCAGGUAACAUCAAAUCGUACCCCAAACCGACACAGGUGGUCAGGUAGAGAAUACCAAGGCGCUUGAGAGAACUCGGGUGAAGGAACUAGGCAAAAUGGUGCCGUAACUUCGGGAGAAGGCACGCUGGUGUGUAGGUGAAGUCCCUGCGGAUGGAGCUGAGACCAGUCGAAGAUACCAGCUGGCUGCAACUGUUUAUUAAAAACACAGCACUGUGCAAACACGAAAGUGGACGUAUACGGUGUGACGCCUGCCCGGUGCCGGAAGGUUAAUUGAUGGGGUUAUCCGUAAGGAGAAGCUCUUGAUCGAAGCCCCGGUAAACGGCGGCCGUAACUAUAACGGUCCUAAGGUAGCGAAAUUCCUUGUCGGGUAAGUUCCGACCUGCACGAAUGGCGUAAUGAUGGCCAGGCUGUCUCCACCCGAGACUCAGUGAAAUUGAACUCGCUGUGAAGAUGCAGUGUACCCGCGGCAAGACGGAAAGACCCCGUGAACCUUUACUAUAGCUUGACACUGAACAUUGAGCCUUGAUGUGUAGGAUAGGUGGGAGGCUUUGAAGCGUGGACGCCAGUCUGCGUGGAGCCAACCUUGAAAUACCACCCUUUAAUGUUUGAUGUUCUAACGUUGGCCCCUUACCGGGGUUGCGGACAGUGUCUGGUGGGUAGUUUGACUGGGGCGGUCUCCUCCCAAAGCGUAACGGAGGAGCACGAAGGUUAGCUAAUCCUGGUCGGACAUCAGGAGGUUAGUGCAAUGGCAUAAGCUAGCUUGACUGCGAGCGUGACGGCGCGAGCAGGUGCGAAAGCAGGUCAUAGUGAUCCGGUGGUUCUGAAUGGAAGGGCCAUCGCUCAACGGAUAAAAGGUACUCCGGGGAUAACAGGCUGAUACCGCCCAAGAGUUCAUAUCGACGGCGGUGUUUGGCACCUCGAUGUCGGCUCAUCACAUCCUGGGGCUGAAGUAGGUCCCAAGGGUAUGGCUGUUCGCCAUUUAAAGUGGUACGCGAGCUGGGUUUAGAACGUCGUGAGACAGUUCGGUCCCUAUCUGCCGUGGGCGCUGGAGAAUUGAGGGGGGCUGCUCCUAGUACGAGAGGACCGGAGUGGACGCAUCACUGGUGUUCGGGUUGUCAUGCCAAUGGCACUGCCCGGUAGCUAAAUGCGGAAGAGAUAAGUGCUGAAAGCAUCUAAGCACGAAACUUGCCCCGAGAUGAGUUCUCCCUGAGACUUUAAGUCUCCUGAAGGAACGUU